GAGGGUAUAGAUCAGUGGUAGAGUGCAUGCCUAACAUGCACAAGGUCCUGGGUUCAAUUCUCAGUACCUCUG
rnacentral:tRNA from 1 species